GAUGUGUAAAUUGUGUGUUUUACUGCUAUUCUAUUUCUUCUAAUUUAUUCUAUUUCUUUUGACUUAACUAAUCAUGGAAUAGCUUCUGGUCAUUUUAUAUAGAUGCUAUUAAAACUGUCCAGAUGGGAUCUAAAUUAAUAAAAAGCCACUUACUCUGGUGGAGGCAUUUUUGAGGGUUCCACAUCCCGGAGGAACUCGCACUGGAGAGCCUGUUCUGCAGUGCAGCGCUUACUAGGAUCCAAGGCGAGCAUGUAAUCAAAUAAGUCUAGUGCGGCUGCAGGAAUACUGGCAUAAGAGGAUUACAAAAGUCAUAUAUGGUCUUUCACAUAAGCUUAACAUUUCUUUAAACUACUAACAUUUUAUAACAUAGUUGCACUACUUUAUUCCAAUAAAUUUCAAAUUUCCCUUUGAAGAAAUAGUUCUUUUUACAUAAUCUUUAUUAUUCUAAGUAAUUUGAAAUUUGGCAAACAAUAGUAUAUUUUAUUACCCUGUUGUAAAUUUGCAAUUCUUACAUAAACUAAGAACUGAAGAGUUCCCUAUAACAAAAUAAAAACCUGAGCUCAAAUAACAUGAAAAUCACUUCAUUAAAAUUUUAAAUGGUGUUUAAGUUAGGUCAUGUAAGCUCCAAAUGAAACACACAACCCCAAAUCACUGAUACCAUAAUGACAGUGAAUGGUAAUUUGCAUAUAGCAAAGGGAAAUUCAAAAUUAAAGGACACAGAAGAAUUGUGAUAGGUCUACCUUGGGUCAAUAGAGGACAGAGUGACAUUCAGAAUUCUUAAGAAAUAAAUAAAAAAAAAAAAAUUCAAUGCGAUAUGGACAUUUAACCAUCCCCUUCUUACAAAACAAAUUCUUCUCUUAACUUUCGACGAUAUUGCUUCUUUGGUUUCAUGGUGUUGAAAUAUGGUAGUUUGAUUACAUCAGGCCACACUGCAGGACAUGGACUCCCACAUAUACGGCUAAACAACACACAAGAAGAAGUACAUCAAUAUAAACUACACAGAAAAAAAUCAUACAUACAAUUGCUAUAUAAAACAUCAACUCCCUCUUCAAUACAGAAAAGUUGGAGUGUUGACACAUUUUAUAUUUUAGUCAUCCCAAAUUAAUUACUUGUUUUAAGAAAUCAAUUUACUUUCAGUGGAUGCUUCUAAUACUCCAGACAUUCCAAUUCCUAAAAAGAAAACCUUCAUAUUUGCAGAGCCAAGUCUUAAAACACAGGUAAUACUCCAAACAUGCUGACCAUACUUUGGACCAAGAUAAAACACUUUAUGCCAAUAAAUUAAGGAACCAGAGUUUAGUUCAUAUCUUUCUCUGGUUUUAUAGGUACCUGUCAUUACUUCUCAUGAAUAUAAUGAAGUUUGUGAGAACAGCGGAAGCAAAUUUCCUACACCCAGGAAAGGAAAUACGGUAAUGUCUGUUGCUGAAUUCGAUCAAAAGGAAGACCUUCAAAGUAACACUUGAAAUAUAGAAGUUCUUCAACUUAAGUAGUGCCACUGAUUUCAAGCUUCUGGCAGACAGAGGUGGUGACAGCCUUGGAAGGCAUGUGAAGAAGAUGGCAGGUCUUCCAACGUGGAAUGAGAUCUAAUGAGAUGGUGAAAUACCCUUAAUUGUCCACCGAGGUACAAAUCUCAUUUGGUCAUAGUGUAUAAUCCUCCUCGUAUGCUGCUGAAUCAAGUUUGCUGGUGUUUUCUGAGGCUUUCUGCAUAAAUAUUCAUCAGAAAUAUUGAUAUGAAAAAAAAAAUAUUGAUAUGUUUUUCUUGAAGUGUCUUGGCCUGGGUUUGGUAUCAGGGUAAUGCUGGCCUUACAGAACGAGUUUGAAAGUAUUUCUUGAUGAACAUGAAGAAAAAAGAAAAACAUGAAUACGUUUUUUAGAAAAGUCUGGAGAGGCCUAGGGUUAACUCUUCUUUUAAUGACCGCAAAAUUCAC